GGCUCAGGAUGAACGCUAGCUACAGGCUUAACACAUGCAAGUCGAGGGGCAGCAUUGGUAUAGCUUGCUAUUCCAGAUGGCGACCGGCGCACGGGUGAGUAACGCGUAUCCAACCUUCCGCAUAGUAGGGAAUAGCCCGGCGAAAGUCGGAUUAAUGCCCUAUGUUUUCCGAUGCAGGCAUCUAAGUUGGAACAAAGAUUUAUCGCUAUGCGAUGGGGAUGCGUCUGAUUAGGUAGUAGGCGGGGUAACGGCCCACCUAGCCAACGAUCAGUAGGGGUUCUGAGAGGAAGGUCCCCCACAUUGGUACUGAGACACGGACCAAACUCCUACGGGAGGCAGCAGUGAGGAAUAUUGGUCAAUGGGCGCGAGCCUGAACCAGCCAAGUAGCGUGCAAGGAUGACUGCCCUAUGGGUUGUAAACUGCUUUUAUGCGGGAAUAAAGUCAGGUACGCGUACCUGUUUGUAUGUACCGCAUGAAUAAGGACCGGCUAAUUCCGUGCCAGCAGCCGC
rnacentral:rRNA from 1 species